ensembl:lncRNA novel transcript
CCCUGGAGGGUCACCCAAGGAAAGAGUUCGUUCCAAAGACAGGUGCUCCUCUGAGUUCCUCUGGAAUCUGGCAAGGUGCCGAGCUUGGACGCAAGGCUUCCAUGAGGCUGUGAAGGAGGUUGCACGGAAACUGGUGGGGAUCUGAAAAGCUUUUAGUGGCCUCGCCACACACAGCACUUCAGAUGCUCAGGUGAUGAGCAACAUUUUCCAAACCCAGCUAGUGAGCACCCCACCUCCUCUGGCUUCCAGAACCUGGUGUGGAGGGCCAGGAGAGGCUUCGGGACUGAAGGGCAGAGCAGCAGACUCCGGGGCUCAUGUAGGAAGGAACAUGCCUUCAGCCAAAGAUUAUCCACGCUGCAUGGAGACUCUUGCUAAAUAUCACUGGGGUAAGACUGAAGAAAAGAAAUAAACUAUGCUACCUGCUCUUAAUAAAGAUCAUUUUAUUUUAAACAGGAGGCUGAAUAAAACCUUUUGACUCUGUAUUUCAGACAAAUGCAGUGGCUUAAUUUCAUUCAAUCAUUUACUGAGGAUCUGAAAUGCAUGCGGUUAGUGGUGAGAAUACUGACUCAGGGCUGUCCCUUCCUCUGGAGUUGACAGCCGACUGCGCAGGAAGGGAAGGUGAGGGUCAAACACACAGGUCAACAUCAGAAACAGCACUUCCGCCUUCCAUUGGCCCCGAUGUUUCAUGGAGGCCCCGAGGAGGCUGCGAAGGAACAUGGCAGUGACUGCUCCGUGGCUCUGCGUGGUGGCCAGCAACUGUUUGGGCACUAUGACCAUGUACGUUUGACAAAGCGCAUGCAAUUAUUUGAAUAUUCUAUAGUUCUUUUAGGAAACUGAGUAGAAACGGAAAAUUAAAAGUGCUGAUGUUAGUAAUAGGAAACAUGGAUCUCAACAGUGCAACUGUGGCAAAGAUAAAAAACAAACGGCAUGCCAACGGGCUCAUGACAGACACAACCGCGGCCUUGCUGGUCUUGAGCUGCCGUUGCUGAUGACGAUGAUGA